AUUCACCACCAGAAGCACCAUCACCUUCCUUCUGUGUCCCUCCACAAAGCCAGUUGGGACUUCUAGAUAUUUUUGAAGGCAUAUUGAACUAGAUGGUGUUCUAGGGUACUAAUUUCAAGCUGUCGUUCUCCUAACCAUGCCACCAUAGCAGCAAUUUUAUUCUGAUGCAUAGAUUUGUAUAGAGAGGGGAACUGAACAAAGAUAAAGAAACAGCCACGUGGACGUGUGGUGGAAGAUCGUUUGAAGGAGGAGAAGAGCAAGUCAAAGGCCCUGAGGCAAGAGCACACUGGGCAUGUUCAAGGGCCUGCCCUGAACAAUUGUGUACAGGGAGUACAAGUCCCUCAGGCCUCUGCAGCAGCAGGAAAUGGGCUCUGUCCAAGCCACUGGACUCCACUGAUGUGCUGAACAAGUGGAACUCGUCUUUUUGAAAUGAAUGCCUCGGGUACGUCCUGUUCCCAGCUCCUUCUCCA